CAUAUGGUGCUGUGACUCAGAUAUGACAUGGGCGGAUUGUGGACAAUGGUGUAAGAGCCUUGAGUCUUUCACUGUUGAGUGUUGAGGAAUCGGCCACGCAGACGCAUUUUGAGUGCGAGCAGCAGCUGAAUUUAAACGACCCGGAAGGCUACAGCUAAGAACAAAAUGUUACCAUCAUCUCUGGAUAUAGAACUAAUAGAUGGGAGAUGUCAUUGUUGAAGGCACAACAUUUAGAUUACUUACAGUGUGGAAACAGGCCCUUCGGCCCAACAAGUCCACACCGACCCACCGAAGCGCAACCC